ACCCUGCUGCCAGUUGCCAACGGGUGAAGCCGGGCACUCUGGCGGGACUGCCAUCGACAAGAUGGAGGAAGUGGGGAUGACGUCAAGUCAUCAUGGCCCUUAUGUCCAGGGCGACACACGUGCUACAAUGGCCGGCACAGCGGGAAGCGAGGCAGUGACGCCAAGCGGAUCCCUUAAAGCCGGUCUCAGUUCGGAUUGAAGUCUGCAACUCGACUUCAUGAAGCUGGAAUCGCUAGUAAUCGCAGAUCAGCCAAGCUGCGGUGAAUACGUUCCCGGGCCUU
rnacentral:rRNA from 1 species